GACGAACGCUGGCGGCGUGCCUAAUACAUGCAAGUCGAACGCAGUGGGGACGGGGGAGUAACACGUGGGUAACCUCCCAUCAGAGGGGAUAACACGUGGAAACAGGUGCUAAACCGAUACUGAUGGAUGAACACGGGGUGGAUUAGCUAGUUGGUGAGGUAACGGCUCACCAAGGCCACGAUGCAUAGCCGGCCUGAGAGGAGGAUCAGCCACACUGGGACUGAGACACGGCCCAGACUCCUACGGGAGGCAGCAGUGGGGAAUCUUCGGCAAUGGACGAAAGUCUGACCGAGCCACACCGCGUGAGUGAAGAAGGUUUUCGGAUCGUAAAGCUCUGUUGUUAGAGAAGCGGUAUCUAACCAGAAAGCCACGGCUAACUACGUGCCAGCAGCCGCGGUAAUUC
rnacentral:rRNA from 1 species